ensembl:lncRNA
UUCUGAGCUGAGCAAGGGUGUAACAGAUACACUGUGAAGUACACUUUGUGUAGCUCCAACUUGGCUGAUUUGAAUUCUAUCCCUGUCUUUUCUGUUUAAUAAUGCAUAUGAGAUAUCCCUUCUUUCAACCUCAAGAUGAAAUAUGGAGAUGGAAAUGGUUUAAAAUGCUUUAAAUUGCUGAAACCUUGUGUGUGUAAGGUUAAAAAAAAAUGUAGAUAAAUAGUUCUGAGCAAACAAAUUAAAACUCUGCUGAGGUGGGAGGUGAGUGCCUUAGGAGACAAACAUGUACUGCGGCAGGUAGCCAGGGCUGCAAGACCAAGUGCUCUCCCACCCCAGCCACUAAGCCACAGCACACAGCCAAGGCAUCAGAAGCACUGCAUAAAGCCAUUUUGGUUCUAGCAGGAUUUCACUGCAUCUCCAGUUACUGUCAUUUUAUUUUGCAAUCAUCCUUUUUUUCUUAUCUCACAGAGUGUUUUCAGUCUUUUAGGACUCCUGCAGGAAUGGACCUGGAUUGAAAACUUGCCCAUGUCAAUUCACAAAAAUCACUUCUUGCUUCUGGAUCAGCUGCUUGGGCCUGUUGUGCUGGACUGAACCAGCCCAUGGGAAGUGGAUAAAUGCUGCUUUGUCUGGAACAAAAGUGGGCUGACUUCAUCUACGUGCAUUUAUUCUACAUUGCAUUAGCGUGUGAGAUUCUGGACCAAGCCUGAGCACGGUUCCAGUGACAAGCUGCCCAGAGCUGCAGGGUGUUCAGCACGUCCACACUGAAUUGCUCCCAUCUCUUCAUUUGUCACAGACCACACGUAAUCAGAAGAUUUCUGCAUGUGACACCACACCAAACUGCAGUUCUGCUGCCCUGGAUGGUCUCUCAGAGCAGCCUUCACCAGGCUGUCAUUGCAUCUUUGCCACCAGAACAUCAUCCACGAUGAUUCAACUUCUUAAGAAUCCUGUUUGUGCCUCUUUCUGGUAACACUGAAAGUCUUACCCUCAGUUUUUACCCCAAAUGUCAUUUGUUUGCCAUUUCUGUCAGCCUGAUGACAUCCCAAAUAUGGUGAAGAAGCUCCCAUGACAUUUAUUAAUAUCCACUGUUGGCUCUGGUUGACAAGAUGUUUUGUUGAUGUCAAGUCAAUUUAUAUUUCUCCUUCUGUAGGCCUUUGAUGCUGAGCUCUUUUUAGGGCUUUGUUUGAAGCAACUGAGUCUCUUGUAAAUAGUUUGCCUAGUUUCUCAGUGAGUACCACGCUACUUGUCCAGCCCUUGGCUUUUCUGAUGAUACUGUCUCCUUUUCCAUUCUCUUUGUGGCUUCCAUUGUUAGCUGUUUUGUUCAUGUCAGGAAAUUGAUUUUCUGGGAGUGAGACCCUAUAACAGCCAAAUUGUUUUAUCUAUUAUCACAUGUAACAAGUCUGGAAGAUAUCCUAGUCCAUCAAAAAAAAGAAAAAAAAAUUAUGGUAAUUUACAAGCCUUUUUGCUGCCUGGAUGGAACAGAAGAUUUAGUUCCUCCUGCUACACCUGCAGUUUGCCAGUUGUGUACAAGAGAAGCAUUUCUUUUGGCUUCAGAGGUUGCUAGGGCAAUACAUUUUAAUAAAAGCAGAGGCUCCUUUGUUCUUGUUCUUGACCUGAAAUUUCAGCUUGUCUCGUUCCCUUCAGUAUUCUGCUUUUAAGUUACACUUGGUUUCUGGUUUUGUGAGCAUCUCAUCAUAUGAUUUUGAUUUGCUUUGACUUGCUACAAUUUCACUUUCUAUUCUUGCAAAAGGCAUAGAAUGCCUUUGUGACAUAACAUAUUCAGCCAUGUCCCAGUGUCUGUUUUUUGGCUUCAAGUCUAUCCUACCCUUCUCUUGUAUCUGGCACUCUACCAAUUUUUACAGACAUCUUCUUUACAUUUGUGUGUUUUGUGGUUGAUGGUUUCCUUCUCCAUUUGCAUAGAAUCAUAGAAACAUAGAAUGGCCUGGGUUCACACAAAUUAAAAACGACCUCUAGGAUCAUCUAGUUUCAACCUCUCUGCUGUGGAUAGGGUCACCAGCAACUAGACCAGGCUGCCCAGAGCCACAUCCAGCCCGGCCUUGAAUGCCUCCAGGGAUGGGGCAUCCACAACCUCCUUGAGCAACCUGUUCCAGUGCGUCACCACCCUCUGUGUGAAAAACAUCCUCCUAAUACCUAACCUAAACCUCCCCCGUCUCAGUUGAAAACCAUUCCCCCUUGUCCUAUCAUUAUCAAUCAACAUAAACAGUCAUUCCCCCUCCUGCUUAUAUGCUCCCUUCAAGUACUGGAAGGCCACAAUGAGGUCUCCCCGGAGCCUUCUCUUUUCCAAGGUAAACAAGCCCAGUUCCCUCAACCUUUCCUCACAGGAGAGGUGCUCCAGCCCUCUGAUCAUCUUAGUGGCCCUCCUCCAGACCCACUCCAAGAGCUCCACGUCCUUCCUGUACUGGGAGCACCAGGCCUGGACGGAGUACUCCAGGUGGGGCCUGACAAGAGCUGAGUAGAGGGGCACAAUCACCUCCCUCUCCCUUCUGGCCACUCCUCUUUUAAUGCAGCCCAGAACACAUUUGGACUUCUGGGCUGCAAGCGCACACUGCUGGCUCAUGUCCAGCUUCUCAUCCACCAGGACCCCUAAGUCCUUCUCCACAGGGCUGCUAUCAAGGAGUUCUUCCCCCAGUCUGUAUAAAUACCUGGGAUUGCUGCAUGCCAACACCUUGCACAUGUCCUUGUUGAAAUUCAUUAGUUUGACAUGGGCCCACUUUUCCAGCCUGUCCAGGUCCUUCUGGAUGGCUUCCCUUCUCUCUAGUGUAUUGGCUGCACUGCUCAGCUUGGUGUCAUCUGCAAACCUGCUGAGGGUACACUUGAUUCCACUGUUUGUGUCAUUGAUGAAGAUGUUGAAGAGCAUGGGUCCCAGGACCAACCUUUGGGGGACUUUGGGGCUUCGAGUUCCUGUAUAUUUCUCUAUUUUCCCUCAGUUUAAGCUGCAGGUCCUUGAUUAGCCAUGCUGGUUGCCUGCCGCCUCUGCUCAAUUUCUUCUGCUGGGGGAUGGAGAGCUCUUGUGUUCACAGGAGGGUGUCCUUAAAGAGCUGCCAGCUAUGCUCCAUUCCUAUGUCCUAACAGACAGUUUCCUGAGAGAUCCCAUCCAGCAGAUCCUUGAGCAGCUGGAAGAGUUUGCAUUUUGUGUUGUAUGGAGCUCAUUUAUAUGUAAAACCCCACCUCCUGAAUGCCCUCUUGCUUUAUUGAUCUCAUUACUUCACUUGCUUUGUUUGUUUUUCUUCAUCAUGGUAUUUGGGGUGCUUUUCUCUGCACUUUGUCUCCUCUGUUUGGACAUUCCUCCCAUAUUCAUUCAACUACAUUUUCUGGUAGUCCCUUUCCUUACCUUAUCUUCGCUCUGUCUUUGGAUGUAAGAUUGCCCAUUAGCCUUGCUCAAAAUUAUAAGAAGUAGUUGAGAUAUAUGGCUGUUUGGGUCAGUCUCCUACUGUUGCCUUUCAUCCUGGCUAUGAAUCUAGCCCAAACUCCUUCACCUCUUGUGAGCUGCUUCUUGCUCACAUCAGACAUUUUGCAUGCUCUAUCAUUUGAUCACUCCCUUGUUCCCUCUCUUUGUGAAUGCUGCAGUUGAAAAGGUAGAUAUUUAAGUCUUUGGGGAUUGUGCUUCUUGAGCAUUUCUAGGAUUUAGGAUGGAGCCUGCUUGACUGCCACUCCUGCAUGCUACUGAUGUGGAUGACAGCCUUUCCCAUCACACUAAUAUUAGAACUGGUUCUUUAUUUUCUUUUUUUUUUUUUUUUUCAUUUUACUCAUCCUCUGGCAAUCAUUUGGUUGCCCCAGUACAAUCAAAAGAAAAUAAUUUUACUGAAAGAACUGGUGAAUUCAUCCCUUUGCAAGAGCAUCUGUUUGGGAACAGGAAAUUGGUCAUUACCACAAUAAAUAUUUUCUUUGUUUGAAGAGGACUGCUUGCACUGUUGGGGAAAUUUUUCAUAUAUAUUUUUUUAUUAUUGUGUCCUAUCUUCUCAGUCCCUGAUUUGUUUCCUCUAAUGGGAUGUCUUCUCUCUUUGUCAGCUGUAUUUUCUUGAAAAAUAGCUAUUCUUGAGUAAAGACCACAGUCCCCUUCUUCUCCCUCCGCUGAGUGACCAAGUGCCAAAUUGCUAUAUCUGUAUAAAGCAAAUGAAUAAUGACUGCACCAUCUUCUCUUAGGACAAAGUCUAGGGGAAAAAUUACAUGUCUUAUUCAAAACACUCCAAUAUGCUCCAACUUGCUUAUGACCAGCUGUUUUAUGCUAUCAGUAAUUUACAAUAUCUCACGUGGAAAUUGUUUUGCCCCUCUGCCUACAGUAUACUGCAUGUAUAGCUGUCUGUAGGCUAUGUCACAAAUGCAGGAGACAACAUUACACAAGAAUUUUAUCCACUGUGUUCUCCUUGAAGUGUUAAGAAAUGUGCCUCAAAAUAUACUGAGUAUAGUAAUAAAACAGUAUAAAGCGUAUCUGUCUGAUACAAAAGGGAGCAAAAGGCAAGCUUUCCAAAAGAAGCGCUUCCCACUUUGUGGAAAUUUUUCCAUUUCCAAGGCAAAUGUGUUUUACAUAAACUAUUUCCCAAAUCUCUAUACAAAUCAUGUUGCAACUGGAGUGAUGUAGAUACAUUCACAUAAUGCACAGAAUUCCUCCUACAUUUCUACUGGGUAGAAAAACAUUAAGAGGGGCCAGGAUGCCAAAUGUAUUCAGCAUCACACUCCUGAAGAACAGGACGUGGACUGGUAUUCAGUAAUAUAUAAUUACUAGUGCUUAAACUCUGAACUUGUGUAAGGUGCUGCUGUGCUAUUGAAGUCAGCAGGCUCAAGAGUCCAAUGAAAUCAGCCACGCUCUAAGGAAUCAUCAACACAGCAGAACAGCUCAAAGAAACACUCUCUUUUUUGCCUAUAUGCAACUCUAAAUACCAUCAGUUUCUUCUGAGUUCUGAAAGCACAUGUUUUCUUGAUGGGCUGAACUCCUCAGCUUCUUACAGAAGCCCUAACCUAACCUCAGCUUCUUAUAGAAGCCCUAACCAGCUAAGCAUGACUGUAACCUGGUGCAGUCUUGCUGGCUGCUUGUGAAUCAGCCCACCAGGCAGGCUCUCUACACACAACCUAAGCCUGGUGAGCAGAUAAGCACAUUUGUGUGAGACUGCAGUGUAUGUUGCCUAGUGCAACAGAGAGGUUUCCUGGUUCAUGUUUGGUUUAAGUUAAUGCUACUUUGAUUAUUUAUGUCAUGACAUUGUUCUUUCAGCUGCACAGGAAGGAGAAGUUGGGACAUCUUCCCACCAACUUCCAACAUCCUUGUCAGAGCAGAAGUUCACGGUGGAACAAACCUUACUCUGCCUUCUGUGACUAUUCCCAUCAUACUGGAGACUGUCAACGUUCACCUUCUGCUUGACAGCAGGGAAAAAAAGGUUGGGGUAUUUAGGGCAUGCACUUCUAUGCCUGUAAAAUUUGCUCUCAACAGUCUACAGUCGGGAUUACAAAUGCCAAAUAAUAAUAAUAUCUCUACUACUUUUAGAUAUUGAUCCCUUAAUCUACCCUGUGAAAAAAAAAUAACAAUUACUGUAAAGAAUAUUGGAGAUUACAGCUAAACCUCAGGAGCCUUCUAGAUACAGCAGCCGAUUGGGAGACUGGCUUAUCUUCUGACUCAUAACCCAAACAAGCUCCUGAAUGUGCACUGUACAUGGGAAUAGAUGAGAAUGCUCUGGAGGAACAGAGCCAGGAAGAACAGUACUGAAGGUAGAUAAGGUCAGACCAAUUCUGGUAAUACAGGCUAAUUAGUAAAUCAGCAAUGGAGUGUUUCAAUAAUGUAGGCUGCACUGCAUCAAAAAAAGGAGAGACAGAAUGUACCAAGUGUCUUAGGGGAUGGAAAAACCCCAGAGGGAUGAAGUCAGCACUACUGAAGAAUUACCUAUACUUAACUGUUGAAGGGCUGGGAAUGUGACCCGUCUCAGACAGUUUUAUUCACUCAGCACUUUUUCACUGUGGAGACAAAAAAGAUUCAGAGUGGAGUCUACCUGGAAAAAGAGGGGCUGAAUGAUGUUUUGCGUUAAAAGGACAUAGCUGAUCUUGGACACAAGAUUAGCCAGGAAGCUAACAUCACAGCUAAAGCUCUGGGCUCACUUAGAAGAGAUUUUUCAAGUCUAAAGAAAGAAAGAGGACAUUUAAGCAUUUGUAAAUGCAAGCUGACAUGUUCUAUUGCAAUGAAGAGGAUAAAUAUUAAUGUCAUUGUCUGAAGAAAGAUAAAUUAUACAAGUUACAUCAUGAAUCCAUAUGAGAUCUGAAACCAAACAUUUUUAAGAGUAAAAAUAUACUACUAAAAGAGGAAUUCCAACAAAAAUUAAGUGAAACAGUAAUUAACAAGUCAUUUGUCUUUGCCUUGCAAGUCUGCUUGACUUUGCAGAGGAUAGCAAAAUUUCCUUUGCUUUAGAUUGCAGUGGCAUUUUUGCAAAGCCCUCACAGGUGAAUGAUCCCUGUCACACGGCUGCUCAGACCCAUGUCUGUAAAGUAAGACAGGCGUCCAUUAAGAGGUGACUCUUGCAUAUGUAUGGAGUCACUGGGAGAGGCUGAUUUCACUAUGAUACCACCUGCUUUGAGUUCUUGCAGCAUCACAGACAUGCAGUGGUGCUCAUCCUUCAUAUCACUGCCACUGGGGUGAGAGCUGCAGGUCCUGUUUCUAGAGCAAGAACCCAGUGGCUGAUCACGGCUCUGUGCUAAGGAGUAGUAAAAUGUCUGUCUCUUCUCCUAGAAAUUCAUAUUUCUUUCUCAUCAGAAAGACAGGCUAGAAAGUCCUGGAGACAAGGAAGUCCAUGCUGAGUAAAGAGCUAAUGAAAUGGUGAGAUUACAAACAGUAGAAGGAGCUCAGAAGGAACAGGUAUGAGUGACAGGAUUUUAGAAUGAUCUGUUCAAAGCUCUUUGUUUUGGGGGGUUUUGGUUUUGUUCUUCUUGGUUUUCUUUAUUUUAUUUUGUUUUGUUUUGUUUUGUUUUGCUUUUAUUUAUUUGCUUUUAGUAGUACCUAUGUAACAUCAACUAUCAAUAAACAGGUGAAAUAAGGAAA